rnacentral:rRNA from 1 species
UACGUAGGGUGCAAGCGUUAAUCGGAAUUACUGGGCGUAAAGGGCGCGUAGGCGGCGACUCUAGUCAGAUGUGAAAGUCCUGGGCUUAACCUGGGGACUGCAUUUGAUACUGGGUUGCUUGAAUUCGGGAGAGGAUAGCGGAAUUCCCAGUGUAGAGGUGAAAUUCGUAGAUAUUGGGAAGAACACCGGUGGCGAAGGCGGCUAUCUGGACCGACAUUGACGCUGAGGCGCGAAAGCGUGGGGAGCAAACAGG